rnacentral:hammerhead_ribozyme from 1 species
AUCCGGCUGACAAGUCACAAAUAGGACGAAACGCGCGUUCUGGAU